CAUCUUCCGGUGCAUGUGAACUCUAUGACCUUCGAUCCCUCCGACUUUCCUUCCAGGGUCUUUCCUUUUGUAUGAGAUGCGCAUCAUUAGUCUGCUUAAUCUGCCUUGUUAUAUGGACGAGGAACUGGAAAGAUUGGAAAUAUGCCAAUAAAACUGUUCCACCAGAUCAGAGGGUAGAAGUGAAGUAUGCUAAAGUGCCAACUGAAAAUAAGGACAUAGACGGUGAACAACUGAGUCCAACAACAACAGAGUAAAAGAUUCGAGAGAAAAACAGAUACUGCAUUAAAUGUUUUUCUACCAAUGAAAAAAAAAAAUUGAUAUUUUCUUUUAAAUAAUCGUAUUUACAUUCGAAAGAAAUACAUUUUAACUUUGA